rnacentral:rRNA from 1 species
AGUGAACGCUGGCGGUAGGCCUAACACAUGCAAGUCGAACGGCAGCACAGUAAGGGCUUGCUCUUACGGUUGGCGAGUGGCGGACGGGUGAGGAAUACAUCGGAAUCUACUUUUUCGUCGGGGAUAACGUAGGGAAACUUACGCUAAUACCGCAUACGACCUACGUGUGAAAGCAGGGGAUCUUCGUACCUUGCGCGAUUGAAUGAGCCGAUGUCGGAUUAGCUAGUUGGCGGGGUAAAGGCCCACCAAGGCGACGAUCCGUAGCUGGUCUGAGAGGAUGAUCAGCCACACAGGAACAGAGACACGGUCCAGACUCCUACGGGAGGCAGCAGUGGGGAAUAUUGGACAAUGGGCGCAAGCAUGAUCCAGCCAUACCGCGUGUGUGAAGAAGGCCUUCGGGUUGUAAAGCCCUUUUGUUGGGAAAGAAAAGCAGCAGGUUAAUACCCCGCGGUUCUGACGGUACCCAAAGAAUAAGCACCGGCUAACUUCGUG